UAGGAGCGCCGAGCUGGGUCUGAGGUCUCCGAAGCCGCUCUGUCCCCUGUAUCCGAGAGACAAAGAGAGCCAGGAGCCCCAGGGGUCUGUUGGGGACGGUCAGGACACCAGGGCCACUGCCCGGUGGCCACCCUGUGUCUGGGCUGGCCUAGGUAGGUGAUCCUCACUCCCAUCACAGGACACGAGGCCCCUCUCUCUGUCACCCACGUGUACCCACAGCAGCUCUGGCUGGUACCCACAGGGGUGGGGGAACCUGGGAGCGAACCCACUGGCGUCUGCCCCCAGCCCUGCGUGGCCCCCCAGGGUCUGGUCUGGACCCCUCCAGUUUAAGCUCUGGACCUUUCUGCCCUUUCCUCUGAGACCUUCCACCCCUCCCCCCCCAGCUAAGAGCUCAGCCCCAGGGGCAAGGGGCAACUUGGGAGAAUCACAUGAGUCAGGGGCGCCCCCUUGGGCCUCCUGCUGCUUUUGGCUGGUCCCCAAACUCACUUCUCAUCUGUCCCCCAGUCCGCCAUCCCUGCCCCUCACCCCUGCCCAGGCUCCUCCACUGCCCUUUCCCAGCUGCCCUCAGCCCCGCCUUCCCUCGCUGGUGCCCCUGCCAGCCCUUACCGCCCCUGGGGUCCCCCUGCCUCCUCUCCCUACUGCUUCCCAUCACCCAUCCUGGAGGCAGAGAUGUGGUCCUGGGUGAGCUUGGGGCCGGCACCCCCCGCUCCCCAGAAGCUCCUUGAAGGUCAGGGGUGUGUGUUCCUCCCAAGACGCUCUCCCAGCCGCCUGUGCCAGGCCAGCUGUUGCCUGAGGGACCUCCCGGGGCCACCCUGAUGCAGGGGUGCCCGGGCCCUCACCUGCACGUGCUUACGGGGGGCUGGUAGGGGAGCUGCAGGGUGGGGCCGGGCUGCCUAGCCCUGAACCCCUACGACAGCAGCCCCCUCCCCUCCCAUUUUACCGCUGAGAUACCUGCCUGCUGGGCAGCUUCCGGCCUCAGCUUCCAGAAGAGGCCCCGCCCCGCUCAGCCCCUCCUCUUCAUUCUGGGCCCGAUGGAGGCCCCGCCCAGGUCUCCUCUAACCUGACCUUCGGUCUGAGCAAGCUAAGACGGGGGAAACCAGUCUCGGGUCCCCGCCGGCGCCCACCUGCGGGCCUCAGGCCGGGUGCCCCCUUGCUUUCAGGGGAGGAGUCAGCAGGGCGUGAAGAGGAGGGAAGGCUGGCCUCCGACCUGGACUUUGAAGGACAGUAGGAUUUGCCAUGAGGGCAGAGGCCCACCUGCAAGUCUAAGGAGGGGCUUUGCCACGGGCAGUGGAGGCUGGGCGCCUGUACCAAGGCCGGUAGGCUUGGGCGCUGUGCAGCGGGUGGCCAGGAUGUGACAUCGGGGUAGUUUCAAGGUGUCAGCCAACAGCCUGGGAGAGAGGCAACGUGGCCGGAGCAGUGAGUUCGAGUGGCCCAGGCCUGGAUGGGACAAGGCCAGGGGAAAGCGGGCGGUCGAGGACAUGCUGGGUUUCCCAGCCCUGGCACAGUCACCCACAGACCAAACAGACCCGCCACGCCGGCUCAUCCGGAACGUGGCCUCGGGCCCUUGCAGAAACCCCACGUGGCGUGAGGCCUGCC